CGACCGUGAAAACAAUUGCUAGGGGCUGGCUGGAUUGCUGUUGGUUUUUCCCCUCCUGGUGGCUUUGCUUGGUUUGGGUUUAGUUUGGGAACAAACUUGUUUUAUAUCAACACUUCCUUCUACAUCGGGCGCCGUCGCCUCAACUGCGCGUGGGGGGCGAGGCGCCCACCCCGCACAAGAACAGAGGAGCGGGGGAGAAGAGACGGCCUCGCUGCUCACUGGGCCCCUUUGUGUGACUAAAUUUGGCAAGAAUAUGGAUCUGAGCCAGUCUUUCCACGUGUGCUCCCAGCUCCCAGCUGAGAAGGCCAAGGGUUCUCUUCCGGUGCUCCAGGAAAGUACCUGAUUGACAAGAUCUACAUCCAAUGCCCAGAAAACACAUCCUACACAGGCACAGUGAAGCGUGGAGUUGAAGAAUUUUCCAGUGAGUUCCAUCAAAGUAAAUAAACCAACCUAGAGCAUCAGGA
ensembl:lncRNA LEF1-AS1 LEF1 antisense RNA 1